GAGGUGGAAGGUGAGUGUCAAAGCAACAGAGAUCUAGGGAAGGAGAGAGAGAGAACGAUGAAAGAAAUGAGAGAGGGUGACCGUUGACGGCCAUUUUCUCCGGCCGACCGUCUUAGUACUCCGACGAGUAGCUUUAGGCUCGAGUAUCACACUCGAUUAUCCACAGACAAACCCCUUCUCGAUGAAUUCUCACGGUGGCGGCAGCUCUAGGGUUCCGGCUAUUAAACCCGGCGGCGACCACAACCGACGGUCCACAGAUGCGCCGUUGGACUAAGUUCCUGGGUUCUGGCCGCCAGUCAAUUUUUGGGUGAAGUCUCAGGCAUGUGUCGUUUUCUUGCAGAUUGGUAACUGCCAAGACACCUUCAGUAAGAAUUUGGCUAUACUUGAGUGAAGAUGUAAUUGCAGGCAAGUGUGAUCGAAGCAUCAUUAGAAGCUAAUCUGGGGAACUGACUUGGAUGUCAAGUGGUAAGGUAACUUUAUUUAGUAUGUCUUAAUUAUACUUGGUAUUAAACAUGCAAGCCUAUGUGCGGUUUGUUUAUUUGGCACUAUGUUAUUGGGUUUUUUUUUUUUUUUUUUUUGUGUCCUUAUUUGUUACCUUACUUUGUUGUUAGAUUGAUGGUUUAAAAAAAGCCGUUGGGGCGCAUGCCUCGAGGUGAUGAUCCCUAUUGUAAAAGUCCCGCUUAGGCUCCGAGUACUCCCCGAGUACUCGCUACAAGGCAGGAUGCCGAGGCACAAGUACUCUUCUCCCAGGCCAAUUACUCCCCGAGUAAUCUCCGCCUAAGCCGAGUACUCCCGAAUCUGACUAGGGAGCGCCUAGCGACUUUUACAACCAUGCCUAUUCGUUAUCUUACUUUAUGUCUAUGAAUGGUAUGUGAAUGCCUAAUUUCAUGAUUAACAAAUGGGUUCGUGAAUGAAUCAAGCAUUAAUUAGUUGCAGCAAGAUUUCGAUAGCUUGAAAAUAAAACAAAAGUUUCGCGUGUCGCAUCCUCUAGAAAACGAUGUGUCGCGCCUCUGGUCUCUUCGAAUGUAAGAGGUUUGCUGACAUACGACAACCAAAAGUAAUCAUCGGCGACAGUUGAUCCUUCAAUCGCCCCCGCGCUAGCAGAGGUUGCUUCUGAUUUUUUAUCCCGGUACUAUCAACUCUCGCGGGUCACAGCUGCCCAGUGUUUUCGGUUGGAUUUCAGGUUUACAUAUAGGUUCACCGAUGGAUCCAUUAGUUCUUCAGUCUGGUUCGCGCAAUGAUUCUUCACGAAUUAAUAGAGGAUAGGAUGGGUCAGCGGAAAUGGUAAAGCUUCUCUGAGCGAGGGUAUUGAAUAGAACAAGGCGGACUGUGGCGAUGUCGUUACGAUUAACGUACGGUGCUCAGACUUCACCAAUUUUUCCGGUCAGCCGAGCCUUGAAGAUGCAAACACCGAAUUCCUUUUACUCAUUGGACUAGCACUCGAUUGCGCCUCUUUUCAACUUACGCACAUCCUGUUUACAUGCUUUUGUUGGGGUUUUUUUGGCGCAUGCAAGUUACUUUAUACACGUUAUAAUGAUAAUGGUAAACCAAUUUGAGUUCAGACCAUCUCAACAAUAGAGGAAUUACAUUGGUAUUGCAUAUUAUUAUUAAUCUCUAAAUGUUACCACAGUUACGACAUUUACGCUAACCCCAACUGAGGUAAUAAAUUUUGUCAUUGUUUUAAGCAUUAUGUUCUUUACAAUGUUUUGUAUGUAGGCCAAACUGUGCAACCAAACUGUAGACAAAUCAUGAGUAACGAUAAGAUCAACCAGCAACUAUUUCAAACUACCUGUGACGACUUACCCUCAUUUAUUUGAUUCCGUAACAUAUGAAAGGCUAAAUUAUUUUCACACAUCACCUGCAUGAUAUUUUUCAGCUGGUUUAGUUAGAGUUGGUGAAGUGGCAACUUAGGUAGUUGGUUAAAACAAUUUAGGUAGAAACCCUUGCCCAUCAAAUCCGUAGCCGAAUGAUAAUUAGGCUUCCAAGUCUUUUAUCAGGGUAUGAUUGAUUAUUGGAAACAAUUUUCUAGAAAGCACACUGCAAAGGUAUUCAUAUUUUUGGGUAUGUAAUUCACUUGAUACUUCAAAAGAAAGAACAAAUAACUGUAUUCACUUGA